AGGGUGGGGUGAUACCCCUUUGGAAAAUGGUCCGUGGUUGCCUUACAGAUGGUAAAUGCCAGGAAGCUGUGAGUGAGGGUCAAGCUAUUCUUGAGCAAUUGCAUGAGGAAAAAUCUGAAGGAUCAUGUAGUGAAGUGGCAGAGAGUAUUAAAAGUAACAGUAGUGAGAAGGCAAAAGAGCCUGAAGAUAAAAAUAGGAGAAGGCUCUACCCAGACUUGACUGAAUUAAAAACGCCUGAGAACACAAGCGACUCAGAGAGUUCUGAGGACCUUGAUAUAUUG
rnacentral:lncRNA from 1 species